UCUGCUGCACGUUGUCUUCUGGUCACACAGAACACAGCCACAAGUAUGUGGACAGGUGAGGUAAACUACAGGUGAGGUAAACUACAGGUGAGGUAAACUACAGGUGAGACAAACUACAGGUGAGACAAACUACAGGUGAGGUAAACUACAGGUGAGACAAACUACAGGUGAGGUAAACUACAGGUGAGACAAACUACAGGUGAGGUAAACUACAGGUGAGACAAACUACAGGUGAGGUAAACUACAGGUGAGACAAACUACAGGUGAGGUAAACUACAGGUGAGGUAAACUACAGGUGAGACAAACUACAGGUGAGGUAAACUACAGGUGAGGUAAACUACAGGUGAGGUAAACUACAGGUGAGUUAAACUACAGGUGAGACAAACUACAGGUGAGGUAAACUACAGGUGAGUUAAACUACAGGUGAGGCAAACUAUAGGUGAGGCAAACUACAGGUGAGUUAAACUACAGGUGAGUUAAACUACAGGUGAGACAAACUACAGGUGAGGUAAACUACAGGUGAGGUAAACUACAGGUGAGACAAACUACAGGUGAGGUAAACUACAGGUGAGGUAAACUACAGGUGAGGUAAACUACAGGUGAGUUAAACUACAGGUGAGACAAACUACAGGUGAGGUAAACUACAGGUGAGGUAAACUACAGGUGAGACAAACUACAGGUGAGGUAAACUACAGGUGAGGUAAACUACAGGUGAGGUAAACUACAGGUGAGUUAAACUACAGGUGAGACAAACUACAGGUGAGGUAAACUACAGGUGAGGUAAACUACAGGUGAGGUAAACUACAGGUGAGACAAACUACAGGUGAGGUAAACUACAGGUGAGUUAAACUACAGGUGAGACAAACUACAGGUGAGGUAAACUACAGGUGAGGUAAACUACAGGUGAGGUAAACUACAGGUGAGAAACUACAGGUGAGACAAACUACAGGUGAGGUAAACUACAGGUGAGGUAAACUACAGGUGAGACAAACUACAGGUGAGGUAAACUACAGGUGAGGUAAACUACAGGUGAGACAAACUACAGGUGAGGUAAACUACAGGUGAGGUAAACUACAGGUGAGUUAAACUACAGGUGAGGCAAACUACAGGUGAGGCAAACUACAGGUGAGUUAAACUACAGGUGAGGUAAACUACAGGUGAGGUAAACUACAGGUGAGACAAACUACAGGUGAGGUAAACUACAGGUGAGGUAAACUACAGGUGAGGUAAACUACAGGUGAGACAAACUACAGGUGAGACAAACUACAGGUGAGGUAAACUACAGGUGAGGUAAACUACAGGUGAGACAAACUACAGGUGAGGUAAACUACAGGUGAGACAAACUACAGGUGAGGUAAACUACAGGUGAGACAAACUACAGGUGAGGUAAACUACAGGUGAGGUAAACUACAGGUGAGACAAACUACAGGUGAGGUAAACUACAGGUGAGGUAAACUACAGGUGAGACAAACUACAGGUGAGACAAACUACAGGUGAGGUAAACUACAGGUGAGGUAAACUACAGGUGAGGUAAACUACAGGUGAGACAAACUACAGGUGAGACAAACUACAGGUGAGGUAAACUUCAGGUGAGGUAAACUACAGGUGAGACAAACUACAGGUGAGGUAAACUACAGGUGAGGUAAACUACAGGUGAGACAAACUACAGGUGAGACAAACUACAGGUGAGGUAAACUACAGGUGAGUUAAACUACAGGUGAGACAAACUACAGGUGAGGUAAACUACAUGUGAGGUAAACUACAGGUGAGUUAAACUACAGGUGAGGUAAACUACAGGUGAGUUAAACUACAGGUGAGUUAAAC